UGGGAUUACAGGCAUGAGCCACUGAGCCUGGCUCUUCCCUUGAUUUUUAAUCUAUCUUCUCUAAAGCUUCUUUAUACUCUGCAUUGAGAUUUCCAUAUUGCAAAAAUUAAAGCCAAGAGUUCUAUUGCCUACUAAGGGCAAACUUCCUGGAGGCAAAAUGCAGUGUUUGGGUCAUGAGCAAAUGUCUAAAGAGAAGGAAGAAAGAAAUUUGAAACAAUUAAAGAUACUGAAUUGACAUGAUCUAGUGAGCAAUUCCAUAUGGAAGAGAAGAGAAUUUCUGGCAUGGACACCAGUGUUGUUGGAAAUGUUUUUUAGCUGAUAAGAAACUGAGUGGAUUUGGAAGAAAAAGCUAUAAGUACAGAUUUGGAAAAACAUUAAUCAAGCCAUAUGGGCAAUAUCUACUGUCCACUAGGCCACGGCAGAAAUGCCAGGCCUACAUGAAAGUUGCAGAUUUAGCAAUAAUAUUGGCUGCUCUGGAAAUUUCCAUGGAGUCAGGAGAGCAGAGGCACAGGUUGACCGAUGCUGACCCUGGGUCCACUCACCCUGUCAGAGAACAGAGCUCUGGAGUGAAUCCAGAAGGAGAGUUCCAGAGAGUUCCUGUCUCACCUCUCACUUGCACUGGCCUCUGUCUCCCUGGUAUUGAGGUCACUUUCAACACCCAUCUGACAUUCCUCCUCUAAAAAUAAACUGGGAAACCCAUUUUCCAAAGUUACUUACAAAUCCAUGACAACAUAUCGAUAAUUUCUGUUUAGACCAUCUAGAACUUUCAUAUCCUCUGAUGUCAACUGGAAUUCAAAAACCUACCAAAGAAGUAGAAAAUGUUUAUUCUUAGAUUGCAUAAUUGUCAACUUGGAAUAGCCAAGUAUAUCACACAGUAGGGUGUAGAGGCAAUAUGUAAAAUACUUGAUAAGUUUCCAAAAGUUAUGAAAGACCAUCUCUAAACUCUCAAGUGAUUAAAGAAUAUCAGAUAAAAUAUAAAUCUAUUCCUAGAUAUUACAUAUUGAAACUGCACAAAACUGAAGAAAAGAUCUCAACAGAAACUAAAGAUGGAACGAAGUUGACCUUAUGUGCACAUGAUUGGUUCAUGUACUUAGAUUCAGAAGAAUCUAGAGAAAUUUUGAAAUGUAUAAUUUAGACAGUUUGAUGGUGAUACAAUUUGGAUAUUUGUCCCCUCCUAAUCUCAUGUUAAAAAGUAAUUCCCCAAUGAUGGAAGUGGGUCCUGGUGGGAGGUGUUUGUGCCCUGGGGGCAUCCCUCAUGAAUGGCUGGGUGCCCUCCCCAUGGUAAUGAGUGUUCACUGCAUUAGUUCACAUGAAAUCUGGUUUAAAAAGGAGCCUGACAUUUUCUUUUUUUCCCUCUUCAUCUCUUGUUAUUUGAUAUGUUUCCUCCUCUGUCACCUUCUACCACGAGUAAAUGCUUCCUGAGCCCUCACCAAAACUAAAUGCUGGUGCCAUGAUUUUUGUACAGUCUGCAAAAUGGACUUUGUGGAAGUCUGAACUUAGUGAUGACUAAGGGUAUCUGGUGGAAGAAAUUUCUAAGCAGGAAAACAUUCAAGAGAUAGUGUGACUGCUUCUAACAGCCUAUGAUCAGGUAUGGGUGCAAAGGAAUGACCUAAUGUUGGAACUUAAAGCUUCCUGAAGCCUCUCCAGAAUGAGAUGCUGGUGCUAUGCUUUUUGUACAGCCUGCAAAUUGUGAGCCAAAUAUAGCUCUUUUCUGUAUAAAUUGCCCAGCAUCAAGUAUUUUUUUUACAGCAGCACAAAACAGACUAAUACAGAUGGAUAUUGUUGGAUUUCUAUAUUUCUAUAUUUGCCCCCAUGACACAAACACCUCCCACCAGACCCCACUUCCAUCACUGGGGAUCACAUUUUAACAUGAGAUUAGAAGGAGACAAAUAUCCAAAUUGUAUCACCAUCAAACUGUCUAAAUUAUAAGUUUCAAAAUUUUUCUCCAGAUUCUUCCGAAUCUUAUAAGUACAUGAACCAGUCAUGUACACACCAGUUUAACUUUAUUUCAUCUCUAGUAUCUGUUGAGAUCCUCUUUGUCUGCAGCAUUAUACAGUUUCACAUCAGAUGUAGAAAUACUGAAAUCCAAAUUUAUUCAUCUGUAUUUCC
rnacentral:lncRNA from 1 species